rnacentral:lncRNA from 1 species
UUGGAUACUACGUGCUAAACUUUAGCAGUGUCAUAUCGGAUGUUCGUAUGCUAAUUAGAAAGACUAAACAUGAGCUAAUUACAAAACUAAUUGCAUAGAUGGAGUCUAAUUCACGAGACGAAUCUAUUAAGCCUAAUUAAUCCAUCAUUAGCAAAUGGUUACUGUAGCACCACAUUGUCAAAUCAUGGACUAAUUAGGCUUAAUAGAUUCAUCUCACGAAUUAGACUCCAUCUGUGCAAUUAGUUUUGUAAUUAG